UGGCCUAUUGGAAACCGUUUGUUCGGUUUCCCUUGAUUUGGAGAAGCCAGAUGGCACUCAGCGUUGAAGAAAAAGCAAAGAUCGUUGGCGAAUACCAGCAAGCCGCC
rfam:Pseudomonas alkylphenolica strain KL28 chromosome, complete genome.